rnacentral:rRNA from 1 species
CUUCCGAUCUGCGGAAGAUGUAACGGGGCUCAAAUAUAGCACCGAAGCUGCGGCAUCAGUAGCAAUACUGUUGGGUAGGGGAGCGUUCUGUAAGCGGAUGAAGGUGAAUCGAGAGGUUUGCUGGACGUAUCAGAAGUGCGAAUGCUGACAUAAGUAACGAUAAAACGGGUGAAAAACCCGUUCGCCGGAAGACCAAGGGUUCCUGUCCAACGUUAAUCGGGGCAGGGUGAGUCGACCCCUAAGGCGAGGCCGAAAGGCGUAGUCGAUGGGAAACAGGUUAAUAUUCCUGUACUUGGUGUUACUGCGAAGGGGGGACGGAGAAGGCUAUGUUGGCCGGGCGACGGUUGUCCCGGUUUAAGCGUGUAGGCUGGUUUUCCAGGCAAAUCCGGAAAACCAAGGCUGAGGCGUGAUGACGAGGCACUACGGUGCUGAAGCGACAAAUGCCCUGCUUCCAGGAAAAGCCUCUAAGCAUCAGGUAACAUCAAAUCGUACCCCAAACCGACACAGGUGGUCAGGUAGAGAAUACCAAGGCGCUUGAGAGAACUCGGGUGAAGGAACUAGGCAAAAUGGUGCCGUAACUUCGGGAGAAGGCACGCUGAUAUGUAGGUGAAGCGACUUGCUCGUGGAGCUGAAAUCAGUCGAAGAUACCAGCUGGCUGCAACUGUUUAUUAAAAACACAGCACUGUGCAAACACGAAAGUGGACGUAUACGGUGUGACGCCUGCCCGGUGCCGGAAGGUUAAUUGAUGGGGUUAGCGGUAACGCGAAGCUCUUGAUCGAAGCCCCGGUAAACGGCGGCCGUAACUAUAACGGUCCUAAGGUAGCGAAAUUCCUUGUCGGGUAAGUUCCGACCUGCACGAAUGGCGUAACGACUUCCCCACUGUCUCGACCAGGAGCUCGGCGAAAUUGCAGUACGAGUAAAGAUGCUCGUUAAGCGCAGAAGGACGAAAAGACCCCGGGACCUUUACUAUACCUUGGUAUUGGCAUUCGGUGUGGAUUGUGUAGCAUAGGCGGGAGGCCGAGAGGCGCGGUCGCCAGAUCGCGCGGAGCCGUAAGGUGAAAUACCGCUCUGUUCGCAUUGGAUGUCUAACCUCGAACAGUCAUCCUGUUCAGGGACAGUGCCUGGCGGGUAGUUUAACUGGGGCGGUUGCCUCCCAAAGAGUAACGGAGGCGCCCAAAGGUCCGCUCAGCCCGGUUGGCAAUCGGGUGGCGAGUGCAAGUGCACAAGCGGGCUUGACUGCGAGGACGACGGUCCGAGCAGGGACGAAAGUCGGGACUAGUGAUCCGGUGCCGGUGUACGGACGCGGCAUCGCUCAACGGAUAAAAGGUACCCCGGGGAUAACAGGCUGAUCAUUCCCAAGAGUCCAUAUCGACGGGAUGGUUUGGCACCUCGAUGUCGGCUCGUCGCAUCCUGGGGCUGGAGCAGGUCCCAAGGGUUCGGCUGUUCGCCGAUUAAAGCGGCACGCGAGCUGGGUUCAGAACGUCGUGAGACAGUUUGGUCUCUAUCCUCUGCGCUCGUUGGAAUGCUGAGGAGGCCUGCCCAUAGUACGAGAGGACCUGGGUGGACGAACCUCUGGUAUGCCGGUUGUCACGCCAGUGGCACGGCCGGUUGGCUACGUUCGGAAGGGAUAACCGCUGAAAGCAUCUAAGCGGGAAGCCUGCUCCAAGAUAAGCAUUCCGUGGAACCUUCGAGUUCCUGUAGUCCCCAUGCAGAACACGUGGUCGAUAGGCCGGACGUGGAAGCCCCGCGAGGGGUGGAGCCGACCGGUACUAACGGACGAAAGGCAACACCAA